GGAUUGCAGGCUGCAACUCGCCUGCAUGAAGCUGGAAUUGCUAGUAAUCGCGGAUCAGCAAGCCGCGGUGAAUACGUUCCCGGGCCUUGUACACACCGCCCGUCAAACCAUGAGAGUUGGCAACACCCGAAGUCGGUAGUCUAACCGCAAGGAGGACGCCGCCGAAGGUGGGGUUGAUGAUUAGGGUUAAGUCGUAACAAGGUAAC
rnacentral:rRNA from 1 species